UAGCCUCAGGCUGCCCGAGUUGUAAUCUAUAGAAACGUUUUCCGCGUUGGCCCAUGUACAAGUCUCCUGGAAUGGAGCGUCAUAGAGGGUGAGAAUCCCGUCCUUGACAUGGACUACCAAUGCUUUGUGAUACGUUUUCAAAGAGUCGAGUUGUUUGGGAAUGCAGCUCAAAAUGGGUGGUAAAUUCCAUCUAAAGCUAAAUAUUGGCGAGAGACCGAUAGCGAACAAGUACCGUGAGGGAAAGAUGAAAAGCACUUUGGAAAGAGAGUUAAACAGUAUGUGAAAUUGUUGAAAGGGAAACGAUUGAAGUCAGUCAUGUCUAUUGGACUCAGCCGGUUCUGCCGGUGUACUUCCUUUAGAUGGGGUCAACAUCAGUUUUGAUCGCUGGAAAAGGGCAGGAGGAAUGUAGCACUCUCGGGUGAACUUAUAGCCUUCUGUCGUAUACAGUGGUUGGGACUGAGGAACGCAGCAUGCCUUUAUGGCCGGGGUUCGCCCACGUACAUGCUUAGGAU
rnacentral:rRNA from 1 species